rnacentral:lncRNA from 1 species
ACCAGUGGCACAACCCAAGUUCAUGAGACGACCCUCGGCCAAAACAAUGAUUCCGGACUUGGUGUCUGGGAACACCCACCUGUCGGUCUGGGGCUUGAUGGUGAUACGCUUCACUCCAGGGAAGGUCUCAAGUCCUUGCAUGUCAAUCUCGUUGUCAAAGUGACCAAUGUUGCAGACGAUAGCGUUGUUCUUCAUCUUCCUCAUGUGGUCAACCAUGAUGAUGUCUUUGUUACCGGUGGUGGUGACAAAGAUGUCAGCUUCAGAGACGACAUCCUCAAGGGUCAGAACUUGAAGCCCUUCCAUCAUAGCUUGUAGGGCACAGAUGGGAUCGAUCUCGGUCACAAUGACUCUAGCACCAGCGGUUUUCAUGGCAGCUGCACAACCCUUUCCGACAUCACCAUAACCACAGAUAACCGCAACCUUUCCGGCGAUCAUGACAU